rnacentral:rRNA from 1 species
AUUGAACGCUGGCGGCAUGCUUUACACAUGCAAGUCGGACGGCAGCACAGAGAAGCUUGCUUCUUGGGUGGCGAGUGGCGAACGGGUGAGUAAUAUAUCGGAACGUACCGAGUAAUGGGGGAUAACUAAUCGAAAGAUUAGCUAAUACCGCAUAUUCUCUGAGGAGGAAAGCAGGGGACCUUCGGGCCUUGCGUUAUUCGAGCGGCCGAUAUCUGAUUAGCUAGUUGGUGGGGUAAAGGCCUACCAAGGCGACGAUCAGCAGCGGGUCUGAGAGGAUGAUCCGCCACACUGGGACUGAGACACGGCCCAGACUCCUACGGGAGGCAGCAGUGGGGAAUUUUGGACAAUGGGCGCAAGCCUGAUCCAGCCAUGCCGCGUGUCUGAAGAAGGCCUUCGGGUUGUAAAGGACUUUUGUCAGGGAAGAAAAGGCUGUUGCUAAUACCGACAGCUGAUGACGGUACCUGAAGAAUAAGCACCGGCUAACUACGUG